GGCCUGUUAGCUCAGCCGGUUAGAGCGUGGUGCUGAUAACACCAACGCCGCAGGUUCGAUCCCCAGUCGGUCCC
rnacentral:tRNA from 1 species